GGUUCUAUAGUGUAGUGGUCAUCACAUCUGCUUUACACGCAGAAGGUCCUGGGUUCAAUCACCAGUAGAACCA